CGGGGGUAGCAAUACCCGCCGGCGACCGGCGCACGGGUGAGUAACGCGUAUGCAACUUACCUAUCAGAGGGGGAUAACCCGGCGAAAGUCGGACUAAUACCGCAUGAAGCAGGGAUCCCGCAUGGGAAUAUUUGCUAAAGAUUCAUCGCUGAUAGAUAGGCAUGCGUUCCAUUAGGCAGUUGGCGGGGUAACGGCCCACCAAGCCGACGAUCAGUAGCCGAUCUGAGAGGAUGAACGGCCACACUGGAACUGAGACACGGUCCAGACUCC
rnacentral:rRNA from 1 species